rnacentral:lncRNA from 1 species
UGUUGGCCCCACAACCGCUUCUCAAGGGAAUUGCAAGGAAUGGUUAUUGAUUUCAAUAUCACAGGACUAAUAAUGAGACCUCAUGAUACGGGACUUGGAUCUGCUACAGGAAAGUGUUAUUGAGAGGCUGCCCACUCUCAUGGUGCUGUGGCCAUGGCUUGACUGAUACUUUAAAGACAAGAGAAAAGAAAAACAAAAAACAAACAGCAAAGAGUAAUUAAAAAGUCACCAGAGCCAGGCAGCGAUGGUGGCGGUGGUGGCGGCGAUGGUGGCGGUGGUGGCGGCGGCGGGGUGGUGGCGCAUACCUUUAAUCCAGAGGCAGCUGGAUCUCUAUGAGUUUGAGACCAGCCUGGUCUGCAUAGUGAGUCCCAGGAGCCAGGGCUGAGAGAGAGGCAGAGUGUGUGUGUGUGUGUGUGCGCGUGUGCGCGCGCGUGUGUACACACUUCCCUGUACCCUCAUCUCAUCUCUGAUUCCCAUUGGCAAGUCAUAACAAGGAUGUAGUACAAACUGAACAGUGUGGGUGCCAUCAGCUUCAUCUUCACGAUGGCACCCUAAGUGUCUCCUGCUAAGAAGUUCUCGUAAUCUUUCUCUUCGCUGCACCACAAGGUCCCUGGUGCUGGGCCCUGCCAUUCAGCAGAGUUUAUUGUCUGCUAACUGUGUAAGUGUAACCACUGUCCAGGUUCCCAGUUCUAAUCUACUCUUCUCCGAAUAGAUUUCUCUACAGCCUUGACAGGCCCUAAUCGUGUGGGAUGUAUAAACACGGGAGAGCAGAUAUGGCUUGUUUGCAUCUGCGUGCUUGUAGAGAGGAGCUGUCUCUGUGGUGGAUUUUUCAAAUAGCAAAGAUGUUGGAAGCCAAAGCAGAGGGGUGAUCAUGCUUGAAAGAGGCCCUUCUAUGACUCUGCUUUGCAUGGCCACCAAAAUCCUGAUCUCUCCUAAAGCUGCUGGAGGAAUCUCGGGACUCAGGAAUAAAACUAAGUUGUCAAGACAGAAUAAAAUAAGACUGAGUAAAUUUAGGGGUUGACCAAUGAAUUACUCAGUAAAUAAAUACUGAAGGAUCAUGGUCCAAAGGCCAUCUUCAAGAAGUUAUAUACCAGCUGUAUUAAAAGACACAAGAGCCACUGGAUCAUGGCUUACUUUGAACCCACCUGUGCUAUAAGUCUGUCUUGGGUUUUAUCGAUAUUUGACUUCCCAUAUUCCCCAGUCCCAACCAACUCAUUGUGUGUUUUUAAACUAGACGCUAAAGUGUAAACUACUACAAUCUUAAAUAAUUCUUAUUUGUGCCUGUCUGCUGCUAUCUCUUGCUUUUUUUCUCUUCCUGGCGUCUAAAGUAUUGCUUAGCUGGAAACUGUAGUGUAGAAGGAAUAUGGAUUAAAAGGCAAAGGAGCAAUCGGAAAUCACUUAUUUUUCUAUAUGUAGUUAGGCACAUCAACUGAUCUAAAUCAAUACGCUAGCUAUACUCAAUAGUGAGCGUCAUUUGAAAAAUCUCUAAAGGGGAGGGGG